GACGGAGGAUGCAAGUGUUAUCCGGAAUCACUGGGCGUAAAGCGUCUGUAGGUGGUCAAAUAAGUCAACUGUUAAAUCUUGAGGCUCAACCUCAAAAUCGCAGUCGAAACUAUUAGACUAGAGUAUAGUAGGGGUAAAGGGAAUUUCCAGUGUAGGGGUGAAAUCCGUUGAUAUUAUGGGGAACACCAAAAGCGAAGGCAGCUUACUGGGACAUUACUGACACUGAAACAUGAAAGCGUGGGUAGCGAAUGGG
rnacentral:rRNA from 1 species